UGGAGAUGAUAGAAGUGGCCUGUACA
rnacentral:piRNA from 1 species